rnacentral:tRNA from 1 species
AAAGAGUUAGUCUAAAAAAGACUGUUGAUUUCGGCUCAGCCAAUUUUGGUGAAACCCCAAACUCUUUU